rnacentral:lncRNA from 1 species
UCCAGUGUUAGCAUACUCAGCAUAGAACAAUGUGUCUAGGGCAAAAGUCCCACUCCACUCGUACCACCCAGCAGGGUCGAUGAUAUCAGUAAUGGAAGAUUGCAUAAUCACAGUCCUAGAGUACUCCUUCCACGGCCUUCCCAGGUAUGUCUUAAAGCUACCCUUCACGGCUUGAAGGUCAGAAGUGGCACCAAUCCUUGAUUUUUGGAUCACAAUGCCGGUGUUCUGGUUGGGG